CUUGCGACCACAUCACAUUAAAAACACCGGUUCCCGUACGAUCACCGUAGUUAAGCUAAAAUCGAACCUGGUCAUUACCUAGAUGGGUGACCGCCUGUUAAUACCAGGUGCUGUAAG